UACGUAGGGGGCAAGCGUUGUCCGGAAUCAUUGGGCGUAAAGCGCGUGUAGGCGGCCAGAAAAGUCCGCUGUGAAAACUCGAGGCUCAACUUCGAGCUGUCGGUGGAAACUUUCUGGCUAGAGUCCGGAAGAGGAGAAUGGAAUUCCUGGUGUAGCGGUGAAAUGCGCAGAUAUCAGGAGGAACACCGGUGGUGUAAACGGCUUUCUGGACCAUAACUGACACUGAGGCACGAAAGCGUGGGUAGCAAACAGG
rnacentral:rRNA from 1 species